GAAUAUUGGACAAUGGGGGCAACCCUGAUCCAGCAACGCCGCGUGGGUGAAGAAGGCCUUCGGGUUGUAAAGCCCUUUCGACGGGGACGAUGAUGACGGUACCCGUAGAAGAAGCCCCGGCUCACUUCGUGCCAGCAGCCGCGGUAAUACGCAGGGGGCUAGCGUUGGUCGGAAUUACUGGGCGUAAAGGGCGCGUAGGCGGACCAUUAAGUUAGGGGUGAAAUCCCGGGGCUCAACCUCGGAAUUGCCUCUGAGACUGGCGGUCUUGAGGACGGGAGAGGGUCGUGGAAUUCCCAGUGUAGAGGUGAAAUUCGUAGAUAUUGGGAAGAACACCGGUGGCGAAGGCGGCGACCUGGACCGUAUCUGACGCUGAGGCGCGAAAGCGUGGGGAGCAAACAGG
rnacentral:rRNA from 1 species